rnacentral:rRNA from 1 species
UACGAAGGUUGCGAGCGUUGUUCGGAAUCACUGGGCAUAAAGCGCACGUAGGCGGUGCCGUAAGUCGGAUGUGAAAUCCCUCGGCCUAACCGAGGAACUGCGUCCGAUACUGCGGUGCUUGAGGAUCAGAGGGGUGCAUGGAAUUUCCGGUGGAGCGGUGAAAUGCGUUGAUAUCGGAAGGAACUCCGGCGGCGAAAGCGAUGCACUGGCUGAUUUCUGACGCUGAGGUGCGAAAGCCAGGGGAGCAAACGGG